AAACCUGAGAGAUGUUUUUAUUAUUAAAAGUUGGUUUAUAUUUUAAGGGAAGAAGGUUGAUCUUAUUUUCUGUUCCACCCUUUAGUUCCUUCACCCUGCAUUGUGUUGAGCAGUUUUAAGUACCAAUAUACUUGUAUGGCUUGGGGAGCAGUCGGAAGUUUGAAUGGACACACUUUCUUCAGCUCUCUCACCCACUGGCAGCAGUGAAAGCAGAGAACAGUGUCCUGGCUGGUGUGAAGAGCAGAGUUACCACGACUUUUCCAGUCGUUCUGGAGAAGCCAAACUGCUGCUAAAUGGAGCUGCUUGAGCUGCCAAAGCUCCCUUGGAGCUCUUUAACAACCCCUUCUGGUUGUCGUGAUUCACUAUUUGAAGAAUACUUCUCGUUGCCAAAAUGACUCAUUUUGUAAAAUGUCAAUUAAUGCACUGCAGAGUCUGCAAAAAAAUAGAUCUGUUUUUAAAUGAAUUAUGAUUUAAAUUAGUAAUUAAUCUUUGAAUCAAGUGAUUAUUUUCUUGAUCCUGCUUAAAAUUAAAUUUAGUUAUAAGCACUUUGAAGGCAAUGCAGAAAGAGUCAUUAUUAUUUAAUCAGCUUUAAAUUGCUUACAUAAGUACUUACACGAGUGACAUAUUUUCAUCUUGAGAUAAUUAAAAAUAAUUAGUAUGGCUUUAUCACAGUUUUAAUGUGCAAAAGUCAAAUUCACAUUAUUAGAGGUGCUUGAAUACUGGGGUUUUGGAUGGAAUUUAUCUGCAAAUUAUCACAUGAAAGUUAAUUUUGCUAUCACAUGAAUGCAAAGUUUGCAGAGAGUGAUUUGGCCAGGAUGCAUCAUUCAUCUCUCAUUCCAUGUGAACUCAGUUCUGCUUUAUUUUUCAGGGAGUUUAUUAUAGUUUCUGGAAAUAAUAAACAAUUUUAGAGCUGGUAUAACA
ensembl:lncRNA